rnacentral:rRNA from 1 species
ACGUAAUAGAUACCCCCGGUAGUCCACGCCCUAAACGAUGUCUACUAGUUGUUGGUGGAGUAAAAUCCAUGAGUAAACGCAGCUAAACGCGUGAAGCAGACCGCCUGGGGAGUACGGUCGCAAGAUUAAAACUCAAAUGAAUUGACGGGGGCCCGCACAAGCGGUGGAUUAUGUGGAUUAAUUCGAUGCAACGCGAAAACCUUACCUGGCCUUGACAUGUAACGAACUUUCCAGAGAUGGAUUGGUGCUCGAAAGAGAACGUUAACACAGGUGCUGCAUGGCUGUCGUCAGCUCGCGUCGUGAGAUGUUGGGUUAAGUCCCGCAACGAGCGCAACCCUUGCCAUUAAUUGCCAUCAUUUAGUUGGGCACUUUAAUGGGACUGCCGGUGAC